ACGAACGCUGGCGGCGUGCUUAACACAUGCAAGUCGAACGGAAAGGCCCUGCUUUUGUGGGGUGCUCGAGUGGCGAACGGGUGAGUAACACGUGAGUAACCUGCCCUUGACUUUGGGAUAACUUCAGGAAACUGGGGCUAAUACCGGAUAGGAGCUCCUGCUGCAUGGUGGGGGUUGGAAAGUUUCGGCGGUUGGGGAUGGACUCGCGGCUUAUCAGCUUGUUGGUGGGGUAGUGGAUUACCAAGGCUUUGACGGGUAGCCGCCCUGAGAGGGUGACCGCCAAAAUAGAAAUGAAGAACAGCCCAAAAUGCACAAGGGAGGAACAAUGGGGGAAUAUACAAAAAGGUGCGGAACCUGAAGACACAAACCCCCGUUCGGGGAGGACGGCCUUCGGUUGUAAAACCGAUUCCCCUUUUAACGAAGCUUGAGGGAAGUAAAUGGGAAAAGAAGACCCGGUAAACUAAAG
rnacentral:rRNA from 1 species